rnacentral:lncRNA from 1 species
CACCAAAUACUACCUACUACCACUAGUUUUACUUUGAAACAAGUAAAACUUAACUUGUACACAAGCUGAUUAUGUCAAUCAGCACCUAAAAACAUCAGAACAACACCAACUUAGUUCAUUUUCAACUAAGUAGCUUAGCAAAGAAACUAAGGAGAAAACCUUGCUGUUACAACAAGUAUACGUGCUGCAGCAUAUCAUCAAGCUGCAUGCACUUCAAACAGCAGCAUGGUUGGCCAAUUUCAACACUCCUCCUUGGGCUCCAUGCUGCAAAUACCAGUCAUUCAUCAAGUUCUUUGAACUUGGCAGCCCUUAGAUGCUUUGUUUCAAGCUGACCAAUUCAUUUUCAACCUUGGCUUCAUUCACAAACAAAUUUGACUUACACACUUGACUAUCCCAGUCUUUUGUGCCAAAGAUUUGUUCACCAAAUGGAGUCUUCUCCUCCUUCACAGCCUUGGUUGACAACACAUCUUGCCUUGUUUCUUUGCUUCUUCUUGCACAAACAGUUCGUGAGUAUAGUUUGCUUGCACAAACUGUCUUCAACAGGCUUGCAACUAUACAACAUGCAUUGAGCUUCCACAUGAUGCUGAGCUCACACCUUUGACAGACUCACAUCUUUGCAUAUUGUCUUCAACAGGUGUCUUCAACAGGCUCGCACUUUGCUAAGCUUGCAUCUUUGACAUCUUGCUAAGCUUGUACAUUUGGAAAGCUCACACCUUUCCUUGAAACUCCUCCUUCAGCUUAUUCAAGCUUGUUUGGGGGUCUCAUAAGUUUGAGCCGAUGCUGUCUUCUCUACAAGCAUAAUGACUUGCUUGUGCUUUGACAGCUUCUUUCUUUUUAACAAGCAACGGAAGCAAAAUCAAUGGCUCCUUAAGACUUAGGCUCUUGAUACCAUUUGUUGGAAAAAUGACAGCAGCAAAAUAAGAGAACAGAGAGAACAGAACAUGAAGCAAGGUGCAAGAAAAUUUUUACUUGCUCACAAACGUGCAGCAAGGGAGCUUAUGGCUGAUAGCUCAUUCAGCUCAUUCAUUCAACUAGAAAAACAACAUAUAUAUAGUCAAAUACAUCACCAAAUACUACCUACUACCACUAGUUUUACUUUGAAACAAGUAAAACUUAACUUGCACACAAGCUGAUUAUGUCAAUCAGCACCUAAAAACAUCAGAAC